rnacentral:rRNA from 1 species
AUUGAACGCUGGCGGCAUGCUUUACACAUGCCAGUCGAACGGCAGCGCGGGCUUCGGCCUGGCGGCGAGUGGCGAACGGGUGAGUAAUGCAUCGGAACGUGCCCAGUAGUGGGGGAUAGCCCGGCGAAAGCCGGAUUAAUACCGCAUACGACCUGAGGGUGAAAGCGGGGGACCGAAAGGCCUCGCGCUAUUGGAGCGGCCGAUGUCGGAUUAGCUAGUUGGUGGGGUAAAGGCUUACCAAGGCGACGAUCCGUAGCUGGUCUGAGAGGACGACCAGCCACACUGGGACUGAGACAAGGCCCAGACUCCUACGGGAGGCAGCAGUGGGGAAUUUUGGACAAUGGGGGCAACCCUGAUCCAGCCAUGCCGCGUGCGGGAAGAAGGCCUUCGGGUUGUAAACCGCUUUUGUUCGGGAAGAAAUCCUCUGGGCUAAUACCCCGGGGGGAUGACGGUACCGGAAGAAUAAGCACCGGCUAACUACGUG